rnacentral:rRNA from 1 species
GGGCCCGCACAAGCAGUGGAGUAUGUGGUUUAAUUCGACGCAACGCGAAGAACCUUACCAGGGCUUGACAUCGCCUGACCGCUCUAGAGAUAGAGCUUUCCCUUCGGGGACAGGUAGACAGGUGGUGCAUGGUUGUCGUCAGCUCGUGUCGUGAGAUGUUGGGUUAAGUCCCGCAACGAGCGCAACCCCUAUUGUCAGUUGCCAGCAUUCAGUUGGGCACUCUGGCGAGACUGCCGUUGACAAAACGGAGGAAGGUGGGGACGACGUCAAAUCAUCAUGCCCCUUAUGUCCUGGGCUACACACGUACUACAAUGGCAACAACAGAGGGCAGCCAAACCGCGAGGUUGAGCGAAUCCCAAAAUGUUGUCUCAGUUCAGAUUGCAGGCUGCAACUCGCCUGCAUGAAGUCGGAAUUGCUAGUAAUGGCAGGUCAGCAUACUGCCGUGAAUACGUUCCCGGGCCUU